rnacentral:rRNA from 1 species
GAUGAACGCUAGCGGCAGGCCUAAUACAUGCAAGUCGAACGAUACCGGAGAGCUUGCUUUCCGGGAAAGUGGCGCACGGGUGCGUAACGCGUAUGCAACCUACCUUAAUCAGGGGGAUAGCCUCUCGAAAGAGAGAUUAACACCGCAUAAAAUCACAGUCCGGCAUCGGAUAAUGAUCAAAUAUUUAUAGGAUUAAGAUGGGCAUGCGUGACAUUAGUUUGUUGGUGAGGUAACGGCUCACCAAGACUACGAUGUCUAGGGGAUCUGAGAGGAUGACCCCCCACACUGGAACUGAGACACGGUCCAGACUCCUACGGGAGGCAGCAGUGAGGAAUAUUGGACAAUGGUCGGAAGACUGAUCCAGCCAUGCCGCGUGAAGGUUACUGUCCUAUGGAUAUUAAAACUUCUUUUUUACGGGAGCAAUAAGGUGCACGCGUGCAUCGAUGAGAGUACCGUACGAAUAAGCAUCGGCUAACUCCGUG